ACGGAGGGUGCGAGCGUUAUUCGGAAUUACUGGGCGUAAAGCGCGUGCAGGCGGGGUAGCAAGUCAGAUGUGAAAACCCUCGGCUUAACCCGGGAACUGCCAUUGAUACUGUUAUUCUUGAGUACUGUAAAGGUAGGCGGAAUUUGCAGUGUAGCGGUGAAAUGCGUAGAGAUCGCGAGGAAUACCGAUUGCGAAGGCAGCCUACUGGGCCGUUACUGACGCUGAUGCACGAAAGCGUGGGGAGCAAACAG
rnacentral:rRNA from 1 species